CCUACGGGAGGCAGCAGUCGAGAAUCAUUCACAAUGGGGGAAACCCUGAUGGUGCGACGCCGCGUGGGGGAAUGAAGGUCUUCGGAUUGUAAACCCCUGUCAUGUGGGAGCAAAUUAAAAAGAUAGUACCACAAGAGGAAGAGACGGCUAACUCUGUGCCAGCAGCCGCGGUAAUACAGAGGUCUCAAGCGUUGUUCGGAAUCACUGGGCGUAAAGCGUGCGUAGGCUGUUUCGUAAGUCGUGUGUGAAAGGCGCGGGCUCAACCCGCGGACGGCACAUGAUACUGCGAGACUAGAGUGAUGGAGGGGGAACCGGAAUUCUCGGUGUAGCAGUGAAAUGCGUAGAUAUCGAGAGGAACACUCGUGGCGAAGGCGGGUUCCUGGACAUUAACUGACGCUGAGGCACGAAGGCCAGGGGAGCGAAAGGGAUUAGAUACCCGAGUAGUC
rnacentral:rRNA from 1 species